rnacentral:misc_RNA from 1 species
UUAGGUUCUAUACCACAGUGAAUGUUGUAGCGCUAGGGUUUCAAAAUCUACACAUAAAAAGACCCAUUCUUCCCUAGUAAUACAUUCAUAAUUGUCAAUUUGGUAUGCCAAAUCCUCCGUUUCCCGAAAAUUUCUAAGGCGAAUUAAUAGUUAAACCUAACAAUCAAUUACCAGGUCGUUGGAAUUCCGCCUAUUUGUUUCAAUUGACGGAAAUCUGCGAGUACUAAACUCUAAAAAAAUCAUAAAUCUCAAAUUAAUCAUAAAAGUUACGCCAUAAGAGUACCAUGUAAGAUAAUACAAA